rnacentral:misc_RNA from 1 species
AAAUGCGAUAAGUAAUGUGAAUUGCAGAAUUCAGUGAAUCAUCGAAUCCUUGAACGCACAUUGCGCCCGCCAGUAUUCUGGCGGGCAUGCCUGUUCGAGCGUCAUUACAACCCUCAGGCCCCCGGGCCUGGCGUUGGGGAUCGGCGGAAGCCCCCUGCGGGCACAACGCCGUCCCCCAAAUACAGUGGCGGUCCCGCCGCAGCUUCCAUUGCGUAGUAGCUAACACCUCGCAACUGGAGAGCGGCGCGGCCACGCCGUAAAACACCCAACUUCUGAAUGUUGACCUCGAAUCAGGUAGGAAUACCCGCUGAACUUAAGC